rnacentral:lncRNA from 10 species
UGCCAGAGGCAAAGCUGCAUUACACCUCACUGGAAUCCAAUGAGAGUUUACCAGGCUGACUCACAGUUGGUGACUGCUGGAUUAAGUUCUGCGCACUCACCAGGGAGGGAAGAUCCGGACAGUGUCCUGGGGACGGCCCCUGAGGUAGCCUGCAGUCUCCUUGGUGAAGAGAACUUUCAGGCCAGCUCCAGGCCUGGGAGCCACACUUUGGGAGGAGCUGGUGGCUGGUGACCCCAAUAACUGCUCACACAUGGCAACUUGCAUGGCACAUUCCUCAUGCAGCUCUAAAAUUUUCACAGUUAAUACACCAGAUUUUCUACCUAGAAGUUGAAGAAAAGAACAAAGCAAAAAUGAAAUCAAAAGACAGAUGGUUCAAGCGUGAAUAAAGUGUCAUGAAAAAAAGAUCCACAUGCAGAUAGCACUCUUCACCUGGAGAAAAUGGUCUCCACAUUUUGCAAAGUAAAACAGAGACACUACGAUGCUCACUAUAACACUUUUCUUUAAUCAAAAUAGGCCUGCAUGUUGCAUUUAAUACAUGGAUUUUAAGCAGCAUAAAAUAAAGUCUUCUGUCAUGAAGAAAUAGUCCUGUACAAAUAGAAACCUUAGACCCGUCAUUUUAAGGAGCAUGCGUUUUACUCCAAGUCUGAAAUCCUUUGAUGACCACAAGGAGAAUAUGGCCACUGUGGAUUCUUCUUAAGGAUGGACCCUCCUCUUUAUUAUCUGUUUUGAUUCUCUGCUUUGAAAUCAUGUAUGUUACUAGCUGGCUGCAGCUGUUCCAAUGAUCAGAAAGGCUAACAGUUGAAGAGUUAUGUGGACUGCUGGGUAUUAGAGCUCUAGAUUGAAAUGGGUGGAAUUUGAUCUGGAUUCAAGUGCUGGUUUCCUUAUUAAGUUGGCCAAGUUCCAUGGCAUUCAACUGUUAAAUUGUCUUAUGUGUAAAAUGGAGAUCCUGCCACCUGCCCCAGGAAACAUUUGUUCAGAUUAAAUGAGAUAACUGAAGUUGAUAGUGUGCAUAGCCUAUACCCCAGAAAUCUUAGGUAGGUACCCAGAAACUGUCAGAUGCACCAAUAUACCUAAACAAGGAUACACAUCUCAGCGUUGUUUAUAAGAGUAGAAAACUGCACCCAGCAUAAAUCAGAAAGAUGGGUAAACCAUGGUGUGUUCAUACAACAGAACACUGUACGGCACUUAAAAUGAGGUGAAGUAGACGUCUAAGAAUCAGAUGGAGAGGUCUCAAGAAAUGAAAGGGGAUAAACAGGAUAUACAGAGUAUGACACCUAUAAUGUAAUUUUAAAAAACACAGAAAUCAAUACAAUAGUUUAUGAAUACAAGAUGAGUAUAAAAACAUAAAUAGAAGGAUUCACAGAAAAGUCAUGAAAGCCACUGUCUCUAAGGAGAGAGAAAGAGGAGUAUGACUCAGGAGGGGAACCCAGAGGGUUUCAAAUUUAUGUGUCAUAUUGUUUCUAUUAUAAAACUAUGGGAAACUAAAAAAAGACAAAGGAUUGACAUGUGUUACUAAUUCUAGGCAGUGAGCAUGCUUAUGUGUUUCUAUUAUUCUCUGUGCUUUUUAAUUAAAAAAAAUAAAAAAAUACAUAAACUGAGAACAACAAAAAUGAAGGGUACAACAUACUGCCUUGUUAAUAACAGAUACUCACUAAUAUGAGUUUCUUUACCACUUCAGCCAACUAGGUUAAUAGUGAAUAGUAAAAAUUAAUAUUUAGACGGUGCUAAGAUUUUAAUCAUCUAUUUCUUUCUCCCUCUCACUUUUUUUUCAUUCAUUUCCCAUUCAACCCCAAAUUUUUCAUCCCUUCCUUUAUGUAGGUGUCCAUGACACAUGUCCAUAUACUGGGCCCUGGGCCACCUUGCCUCCCCUAAGCACUGUCUUGGACAACUAUUUCUUAAGGCAACUAUUUCUGGGCACUGUCUUGGACAACUAUUUCUUAAGGCAAGAAAACAGAAUGGGGGAAGGAUAUGAAUAAGCACAAUGUACAAGCAGCAUAUAACGAGCUUCUGCUGGUCACUCUAGGGAAGGGAACAGAGGAAUGAAACCAACUUGUAAAGAAAGGCACUAAGAAGUGAACACACAGAUGCUUCGCCACAACAGGCAUUUUGUUAAUGAAAAGUAGCUCAUCUUCAAUUGGUAAACUGGAAAAGAAAUCAGGAUAAUGUGGAAGUCACUUCAGUCCACAAAGCUUUUUUUCCUCAGCAGGGCAGCCAGAGCAGUGUGUACAGAAUUAGAGUCUUCAGAAGCAAAGGGAAAAGCCCUAGAUUGAGGAGCUACAGCGGCCACAGGAGCAUUUUGAGACAUAAUUUAAGAAUUUUUAAAACUUGUACCUAUACUCAACUCAGGGCUCAUUCCCAGCAAUGCACAGGCCUGAAACCUCCCCUGUCUCCCACUGACAGCAGCAGCUGUCAGGGCUCCAUGGCCACUUCUGCUCUCAAGCACCCAGGGGUCUGCUCAAGUUCAAGUGUGCCAGCUGAGCACAGGCUCUUGGUUCUGCGCACUGUGGCAGCCCCCAGCCAUGCUCAGCUGCCUGCCCAAGCAGCACAAGCUCUCUUCAGAAACUAAUUCUUGUCUUGGGCAGCUCAAGUCCCCAUAGACCCUGACAGAUUUUAUAAAUGCAGGCUAUUACAGAAAUACAUAAAUAGUAUUACAGAAGAAAUACUUAUGUACCUAAGAUGCAUCAUACUGCCUGACUACAGUUUCUUCAAAGAUUACUUUAUAGCAGCAUGAUUUAGAGUUCUUUGGGUAUACAUCCAGUAAUGGGAUGGCUGGGUCAAAUGGUAUUUCUAGUUCUAGAUCCCUGAGGAAUCACCACACU